CCUUCGAUGUCGGCUCCUCCUGUCAUUGUAAAGCAGAAUUCACCAAGCGUUGGAUUGUUCACCCACUGAUGGGGAACGGGAGCUGGGUUUAGACCGGCGGGAGAAUUU
rnacentral:ncRNA from 1 species